rnacentral:rRNA from 1 species
UCAGAGAAAUUGACGGGAGCGCGACAAGCUGUCGAUGAUGUGCUUUAAUUCGAUGCAACGCGAAAAACCUUACCUACCGUUGACAUGCCAGGAACCUGAAAAAGAUUUCCCGGUGCUCGCAAGAGACCCUGGACAGAGGUCCUCGAUGGCUGUCGUCAGCUCGUGUCGUAAGAUGUUGGGUUAAGGCCCGCAGCAAGCGCAACCCUUGCCAUUAGUUGCUACGAAUAGGGCACUCUAAUGGAACUGCCGUGACAAACCGAAGGAAGGUGGGGAUGACGUCAAGUCCUCAUGGCCCUUAUGGGUAGGGCUACACACGUCAUACAAUGGCCGGUACAGAGGGCAGCCAACCCGCGAGGGGGAGCCAAUCCCAGAAAACCGGUCGUAGUCCGGAUUGCAGUCUGCAACUCGACUGCAUGAAGUCGGAAUCGCUAGUAAUCGCGGAUCAGCAUGCCGCGGUGAAUACGUUCCCGGGUCUUGUACACACCGCCCGUCACACCAUGGGAAGCGGGUUCCGCCAGAAGUAGGUAGCCUAACCGCAAGGAGGGCGCUUACCACGGCGGGGUUCGUGACUGGGGUGAAGUCGUAACAAGGUA